AGUCGAACGGUAACAGGAAGCAGCUUGCUGCUUCGCUGACGAGUGGCGGACGGGUGAGUAAUGUCUGGGAAACUGCCCGGUGGAGGGGGAUAACUACUGGAAACGGUAGCUAAUACCGCACAACGUCGCAAGACCAAAGAGGGGGACCUUCGGGCCUCUUGCCACCGGAUGUGCCCAGAUGGGAUUAGCUUGUUGGUGAGGUAACGGCUCACCAAGGCGACGAUCCCUAGCUGGUCUGAGAGGAUGACCAGCCACACUGGAACUGAGACACGGUCCAGACUCCUACGGGAGGCAGCAGUGGGGAAUAUUGCACAAUGGGCGCAAGCCUGAUGCAGCCAUGCCGCGUGUAUGAAGAAGGCCUUCGGGUUGUAAAGUACUUUCAGCGGGGAGGAAGGGAUUGUGGUUAAUAACCGCAGUCAUUGACGUUACCCGCAGAAGAAGCACCGGCUAACUCCGUGCCAGCAGCCGCGGUAAUACGGAGGGUGCAAGCGUUAAUCGGAAUUACUGGGCGUAAAGCGCACGCAGGCGGUCUGUCAAGUCGGAUGUGAAAUCCCCGGGCUCAACCUGGGAACUGCAUUCGAAACUGGCAGGCUUGAGUCUCGUAGAGGGGGGUAGAAUUCCAGGUGUAGCGGUGAAAUGCGUAGAGAUCUGGAGGAAUACCGGUGGCGAAGGCGGCCCCCUGGACGAAGACUGACGCUCACGUGCGAAAGCGUGGGGAGCAAACAGGAUUAGAUACCCUGGUAGUCCACGCCGUAAACGAUGUCUACUUGGAGGCUGUGCCCUUGAGGCGUGGCUUCCGGAGCUAACGCGUUAAGUAGACCGCCUGGGGAGUACGGCCGCAAGGUUAAAACUCAAAUGAAUUGACGGGGGCCCGCACAAGCGUUGGAGCAUGUGGUUUAAUUCGAUGCAACGCGAAGAACCUUACCUGGUCUUGACAUCCACGGAAGACUGCAGACAUGCGGUUGUGCCUUCGGGAACCGUGAGACAGGUGCUGCAUGGCUGUCGUCAGCUCGUGUUGUGAAAUGUUGGGUUAAGUCCCCGCAACGAGCGCAACCC
rnacentral:rRNA from 1 species